UAUAUUAAGACAGAGCACCCUGUCUAUAUUUUCUCUCUGCAUCACUCUCCCUCCCCACCUCCUCCUUCCAUCAUCCUGCCUGUGUUUUUCCCCCCUCCUCAGGGAUGUCGUGAGAGCAUUGUGGAUCACCGAGCUUCAAAGACACAGGAUCUAAAACGAAUGCACCGUUUUUACUUUUGCUAAAAGCACAAGGUACCUUGCUCACGGCGCCACUUGUGGAAUCUGCUACCGACGUCUCGAGUUGGAGCGUUUGUUGCGACAUGACAUGGAGUUUAUGUAAAAUGCUCAAACCAAACAGAGUAUGACUGGUCUGGCCCCUUCCAUCUCUAAUAGUGUGUAUUUCACAGCACUGUGGGCCCUGGAGGCAUCCAUCUUGGAUCUUCUCCAGUCCAGUGGUUGCGUGGGUGGAUGGGACUGUACUGUAUUUUGGCCGCGUUCCAGUCCAGUUGGCAUGGAGCAAGCUUGAGAGACGCACGGGAUUUCCCUUUUUACACCAACCCCCUCUUCCCUCCAUUAACCAAUUAGACAGUAGAAACGCCUAGCUGAAUAUUUCAAGUAAUUGUAUGCUGCUUUCAAAAUGUAAUGUACAAUCUAGUAAAUAAUAAAAAGUGGAGUGGCUAAUGAGUUGGGCUUUCCUGACUGGCAGAAUGGAACAGUGGAGAUGUGAAAAAAAACAAAAAAAACAACAACACAGAGUCCAUCGGGGAAACCAAAGAGCCAAUUUGUGACAGACUGUUUGAAUGGAGUCAGACAUUUAUUUUUUUGAACUGUACUUUCAGGUUGAUGGGCCCUCCCGUCUCUCAAACAGGGGUCGUCCUUGCACAGUUUGUCCUCACUUGACUGGUGACUCCAAACCAGAGGCUGCAUGUGAAGUAGCUGCAUGGUUGCCCUACUUGCAUCUGUAUAUAAAGGCAACCUGUAUAGAGGGCUGCUUGAAAAAAUAUGAUGUGACAUGUGGGAUGAGCAAGACGGAGCGAGAGGAGGAGGCGGACGCCGUGGUUGAUGUAUUUGCAAAGGACACUUCACCAUCGCCAGCCUGACAUUGACAGACUUCAUCCUGACAAACUGGUGCAUACUUGAAAGAGGACAUGCCUGGCACAUAUGAACACAAGACGAAGCGAGUGCCUCGCGAGCCGGCCGACUCAAGCUUGACAGUUUGAAGAUUUGCUGGCGUUAAAUUAAAUGAAGCUUUGCACUCUUUUACACCUCACAGCUGCGCGGCGCUGAGCGAAAUCCAGUUUACAGUUUUCUCAGGCGCCCCCCUCCCCCUCCCCCAUAUGUUCCCAUUUCCGAUUUCAAUCCUUUUUC